UUUCUCACGUGUAUUCAGUUGAAGACUUUAUUCAUGUUAUAUUCAAUGCAAUAAAACCAAAAGUCAAGGCAUCAAAUUAACAGGAGAUUGUUCUGAAACACACAUCCUAUAAAACUAUGCAACUGGUAGCAUUGUUUCCAAUACAUCAGGAGACAUCUUUCAGUGGCUCCACCUGAAGCAAGGAAGGGGCAAACAACACCUGCUUUACUGCUGGGUGGGGUGGAGAGAAGCUUAUAACCAAAGUCACUGUUGUCACCCCCAAGCUAAACUAUCUACAACCGAUUUUGCAAGUGAAACUGGAAAAAUCCAUUCACAACAGUUUACAGCUAGAUAAAUUAAUAGACACUCUAAAGACCUGUAAUCUAGUUCGAAUGUGUUGAGUUAAAUUAAAUCCAAGCUAUUUGUUUUGUUUUCUGGUUUUUUUGUUUGUUUGUUUGUUUCUUACGGGAUAAUGUGAUUUUCUUUUCUAUAGUAAUGAUGGUGCCUAUCAUUUCCCAGAAAUUAUCAGUUCUGAGUCCCCCAGCUGCCAGGACUUAAGUUGUCUGGAAAUAAUGCCUUAGUGUAACUGCAGUUUGUUUGUUUUUAUAGACAGAGGUUCACUCUCUAGCCCUGGGCUCAAAUUCAGUGAUCCUCCCGCCUCAAGUCUCCUGAGCAUUGGGAUUAUAGAUGUGAGCUACCACAGGCAGACACACCUGCAGUUUUGAAGGCUCUUGGGUGAUUCCAGAGCGUAGCCAAAAAGUGGGGAGUCCGCGGUGUGCUCAAGCAGGUAGUAGCAAGGUAGUCCAGGUGUGUGGGGUGCCUUUUAAUCCCAGUACUCUCAGCUCCAGCUCUGAAUGCUGUGGACAGCUCUGGAGCCGUCUGCGUCUUUUCUCAGGGACACACACAAGUCUGGUGUCAACCAGAUAAAAUGACCCCCGUGAUCUUUUCCUUUUGUGAGGGUGAAGGGGCUUGAAGCCAGGCGUUCUACCCUCCACCGGUUUCUCAAAUCUGACGCCGUAACCGUAGAGGCUAGAGUGUGCUCUCAGUAAACAAAUCCAAUGAGCAAUUCAUCUCAUUCAACAGAGCCGCCGGGUGGCCUCCAGGUGACCCGGGGUCAUUUUUAAUCCUAGCAUCGGGUCACUGAAAGGCAAUUCUGCCUCUGAGUAGUAGGUAAAGCCUCUAAAAAGACUCCGAUUGGCGGCCCGGGGAGUCGCAGAACCUACGCGUACCUCGAGCCAACCCCAAUCAACCAGCCGCUUUCCCUAACAUGGUAGCGCCCCGGCUUGGCCGGAGUGACGUCACCCCGUACUCCCACCCACCGGGGUCACGGCCUGUCACUCAAAGGCGCUC
rnacentral:lncRNA from 1 species